CUGUUGCAGUGGGACUCCUUAUUUGCAAAAGAUGUCGAAGAGGUAAACCGGUUCAGCGGCAGCCCAUGGCGAAUGGUGGCUUGAACGUGGAGAUCGGGAAUCCGUCCUAUAACAUGUACGAAGUUGACCACGACAAUCACGUAGAUGUGGGAAGCUUUCUUCACCCCAGCUUUACCCUUGACCCUCAUAAGGGCUGGUGUGUGAAGUCAAG